GACGAACGCUGGCGGCGUGCUUAACACAUGCAAGUCGAACGGAAAGGCCCUGCUUUUGUGGGGUGCUCGAGUGGCGAACGGGUGAGUAACACGUGAGUAACCUGCCCUUGACUUUCGGAUAACUUCAGGAAACUGGGGCUAAUACCGGAUAGGAGCUCCUGCUGCAUGGUGGGGGUUGGAAAGUUUCGGCGGUUGGGGAUGGACUCGCGGCUUAUCAGCUUGUUGGUGGGGUAGUGGCUUACCAAGGCUUUGACGGGUAGCCGGCCUGAAAGGGUGACCGGCCACAUUGGGACUGAGAUACGGCCCAGACUCCUACGGGAGGCAGCAGUGGGGAAUAUUGCACAAUGGGCGGAAGCCUGAUGCAGCAACGCCGCGUGCGGGAUGACGGCCUUCGGGUUGUAAACCGCUUUCGCCUGUGACGAAGCGUGAGUGACGGUAAUGGGUAAAGAAGCACCGGCUAACUACGUG
rnacentral:rRNA from 1 species